rnacentral:rRNA from 1 species
GAUGAACGCUGGCGGCGUGCCUAAUACAUGCAAGUCGAGCGAACAGACGAGGAGCUUGCUCCUCUGACGUUAGCGGCGGACGGGUGAGUAACACGUGGAUAACCUACCUAUAAGACUGGGAUAACUUCGGGAAACCGGAGCUAAUAACGGAUAAUAUAUUGAACCGCAUGGUUCAAUAGUGAAAGACGGUUUUGCUGUCACUUAUAGAUGGAUCCGCGCCGCAUUAGCUAGUUGGUAAGGUAACGGCUUACCAAGGCAACGAUGCGUAGCCGACCUGAGAGGGUGAUCGGCCACACUGGAACUGAGACACGGUCCAGACUCCUACGGGAGGCAGCAGUAGGGAAUCUUCCGCAAUGGGCGAAAGCCUGACGCAGCAACGCCGCGUGAGUGAUGAAGGUCUUCGGAUCGUAAAACUCUGUUAUUAGGGAAGAACAAAUGUGUAAGUAACUAUGCACGUCUUGACGGUACCUAAUCAGAAAGCCACGGCUAACUACGUG